rnacentral:lncRNA from 10 species
GGGGUUUCACUAUGUUGGCCAGACUGGUCUCGAACUCCCGACCUCAUAAUCCACCCGCCUCGGCCUCCCGAAGUGCUGGGAUUACAGGUGUGAGCCACCGCGCCCGGCUAGAAACAGCUUUUCACAUCAUGUCAACAACUGCGAGCCAGGGAUUGGCUCUGAGGAAGCCAUGGACCUUGUGUGCUCCCCAUUCAUCAGAGAUGCCAGACCAGAGGAAAUACAGCAAUCAAAGCAGGCAAACCUGUUGCUAAAUGUGUUUUUGAGAGUAAAACUCCUUGGCCAAAUACUUCAAGACGCUGAUGAUUCUCAAAACUGUCAUCAUGAACCAUCUGGAGAAGGCCAGAUGUUUACAUUUCACGGAAAUGUGGUCCUGAAACCUUCAUUCUGAGCGCAGAGCUAACCACCUCCUCCUAUUCUUGGCAACACUAGUAAAUGAUACAUUACCACAGAGCAGGUGAAAUGCAGCAGAGACAUCUACGCUAGAACCUGAGGGUUGCUAUGUUGUAAGAAGCAUGCCCAGGUUUAUACUAGGACGCUCGGCUGGAGCAUUGGUUCACCGCUGUCCACUAUUUUAAAGACAUGCCAGAAAUAACAAUCCUAUUAUCUGAUUUCCAAGUAAGUCAGGAUGUUCCUACUAACAGCCCUUCCUUUUAUGGUAGUGAGAAUAGUCUAGAAACUUAGUGUUUUAUGAUAAUUCAUGUGCCGUGGCUCUCUUCCAGGAGAUUUUAAUCUCCCUCUGGCCUUGUCUUAUUCACCUUUAUGUCCCAGGACAAAAAUGUUGGACUGUUUGUUAUAUGUUAAUAAGUGGGCUGGGCGCGGUGGCUCACGCCUGUAAUCCCAGCACUUUGGGAGGCCGAGGUGGGCAGAUCACAAGGUCAGGAGUUCAAGACCAGCCUGCCCAAUAUGGUGAAACCCCAUCUGUACUAAAAAUACAAAAACAUUAGCCAGGUGUAGUGGCACAUGCCUGUAAUCCCAGCUACUCGGGAGGUUGAGGCAGGAGAAUUGCUUGAAUCCGGGAGAUGGAGGUUACAGUGAGCCAAGAUUGCGACACUGCACUCCAGCCUGGGCAACAGAGCAAGACUUCGUCUUAAAAAAUAAAAUAAAAUAAAAUAAAUGAUUGAUAAACAGUGAAUGAAGGCUGGGCGCAGUGGCUCACACCUGGAAUCCCAACACUUUGGGAAGCCAAGGCAGGCAGAUCACCUGAAGUCAGGAGUUCAAAUCCAGCCUGGCCAACAUGGCGAAACCCCGUCUUUACUAAAAAAUACUAAC